rfam:Ictidomys tridecemlineatus contig082037, whole genome shotgun sequence.
GGGAUUGUAGCUCAGUGGUAGAGUGCUUGCCUAGCAUGUGUGAGGCCCUGGGUUCAAGUCUCAGCACCG